GCGCAUGUGGCCUAAUGGAUAAGGUGUCUGACUUCUAAUCAAGUGAUUGUGGUUUCGAGUCCCACCGGGCGUG
rnacentral:tRNA from 1 species